UGGGAAUUUUGGACAAUGGGCGCAAGCCUGAUCCAGCCAUGCCGCGUGCGGGAAGAAGGCCUUCGGGUUGUAAACCGCUUUUGUCAGGGAAGAAAUCUUCUGAGUUAAUACCUCGGGAGGAUGACGGUACCUGAAGAAUAAGCGCCGGCUAACUACGUGCCAGCAGCCGCGGUAAUACGUAGGGUGCAAGCGUUAAUCGGAAUUACUGGGCGUAAAACGUGCGCAGGCGGUUUUGUAAGACAGAGGUGAAAUCCCCGGGCUCAACCUGGGAACUGCCUUUGUGACUGCAAGGCUUGAGUGCGGCAGAGGGGGAUGGAAUUCCGCGUGUAGCAGUGAAAUGCGUAGAUAUGCGGAGGAACACCGAUGGCGAAGGCAAUCCCCUGGGCCUGCACUGACGCUCAUGCACGAAAGCGUGGGGAGCAAACAGGAUUAGAUACCCUGGUAGUCCACGCCCUAAACGAUGUCAACUGGUUGUUGGGAAGGUUCCUUCUCAGUAACGUAGCUAACGCGUGAAGUUGACCGCCUGGGGAGUACGGCCGCAAGGUUGAAACUUAAAUGAAUUGACGGGGU
rnacentral:rRNA from 1 species